rfam:Pan troglodytes isolate Yerkes chimp pedigree #C0471 (Clint) chromosome 7, whole genome shotgun sequence.
GCCAGGCAUGGUGGUGCGUGCCUGUAAUCCCAGCUACUUGGGAGGCUGAGGCAUGAGAAUCGCUUGAGCCCAGGAGGCAGAGGUUGCAGUGAGCCAAGAUUGUGCCACUGCACUCCAGCCUGGGUGACAGAGUGAGACUCUGUCUCCA